CAAAAAUAUGUGAGAAAUGAGGUAUCUACCUAAUGGUAGGAAGAAAUUAAUUAUGUAAUGGUAGGAAAAAUAAUUUCACUUUAAUUAUGUAUUAGAAAAUCAGUAAUCUUAAAUUAGGAUGCAUCAAUGGAGAAGAAGGCAAUUGGGUAUACCGGCAAUUGUAAUCACAAAACAAUAAUAGAUCUACAAAUACCAAGCAAUACAUUAAAUCAAAAAUCUCAGUAACACUGUUAUUAUGUACUCCCUGUGGUCUUAUUAAGUAUAAAGUUUUGUUUUACAUGAAAAUAAUUAUCCCAUUUAAUUAUGCAUUAAAUUUUAAGGUCAGCUUAUUGAUAGCUCGAUUACCAGUCAAAUAGUUUUGAUGUUUUCUAUACUAUGAAGAAAAUUUGAUCUGAUUAGAUUAAUUCAGAUGUAAAUUUAUGUUAUACGGUGAAUGUAUCGAGUCAUAUAUUAUGCAGAAUAUAUUGAGAAAAAUGGUAAACUAA